CCUACGGGAGGCAGCAGUAGGGAAUCUUUCACAAUGGGCGAAAGCCUGAUGGAGCAACGCCGCGUGCAGGAUGAAGGCCUUCGGGUUGUAAACUGCUUUUAUAAGCGAGAAAUAUGAUGGUAACUUAUGAAUAAGGAUCGGCUAACUACGUGCCAGCAGCCGCGGUCAUACGUAGGAUCCGAGCAUUAUCCGGAGUGACUGGGUGUAAAGAGUUGCGUAGGUGGCAUAAUAAGUAGCUAGUUAAAUCUGGUGGCUCAACCAUUCAGACUAUUAGCUAAACUGUUAAGCUCGAGACCGUUGGGGGUAACUGGAAUUUCUAGUGUAGGAGUGAAAUCCGUAGAUAUUAGAAGGAACACCAAUAGCGUAGGCAGGUUGCUGGGACGGUUCUGACACUAAGGCACGAAAGCGUAGGGAGCAAACGGGAUUAGAUACCCCUGUAGUC
rnacentral:rRNA from 1 species